rnacentral:rRNA from 1 species
AGAGUUUGAUCAUGGCUCAGAGCGAACGCUGGCGGCGUGCUUAACACAUGCAAGUCGAACGAGGGUAGCAAUACCUUCGUGGCGAACGGGUGCGUAACACGUGGAUAACCUUCCUUCAGGUGGGGAAUAACCCCGCGAAAGCGGGGCUAAUACCGCAUAACAAGACGAGGACACAUGUCUUUAUCUUCAAAGCCGCAAGGCGCCAGAAGAGGGAUCCGCGGCCGAUUAGCUAGUUGGCGGGGUAACGGCCCACCAAGGCAAUGAUCGGUAGCCGGUCUGAGAGGAUGAUCGGCCACACUGGAACUGAGACACGGUCCAGACUCCUACGGGAGGCAGCAGUGGGGAAUCUUGCGCAAUGGGCGAAAGCCUGACGCAGCAACGCCGCGUGGGGGAUGAAGCUUCUCGGAGUGUAAACCCCUUUCGACCCGGACGAAUGCCCGCAAGGGCUUGACGGUACGGGUAUAAGAAGCCCCGGCUAACUACGUGCCAGCAGCCGCGGUAAAACGUAGGGGGCCAGCGUUGCUCGGAAUUACUGGGCGUAAAGGGUCCGUAGGCGGUGUGGCAAGUCGGAAGUGAAAUCUCUGGGCUUAACUCAGAGGCUGCUUCCGAAACUGCUGUGCUAGAGGGUGAGAGAGGCAAGUGGAAUUGCGGGUGUAGCGGUGAAAUGCGUAGAUAUCCGCAGGAACAUCCGAGGCGAAAGCGGCUUGCUGGAUCAUUUCUGACGCUGAGGGACGAAAGCUAGGGGAGCAAACAGGAUUAGAUACCCUGGUAGUCCUAGCCCUAAACCAUCAGGACUUGGGGUUUGCCCUGUACGGGGCAAGUCCCGUAGCUAACGCGUUAAGUCCUGCGCCUGGGGAGUACGGUCGCAAGGCUGAAACUCAAAGGAAUUGACGGGGGCCCGCACAAGCGGUGGAACAUGUGGUUCAAUUCGACGCAACGCGAAGAACCUUACCUGGGCUUGAACCGCACAGGACCAGCUCUAGAAAUAGAGCCUUCCCGCAAGG